ACGUGAUGAUACACAGAUGACGAGUCUUAUCCGCGUUAGCGAUGCAGACAACCUAUUAUUUCUACCAUUCAUGCCAAAUCUGACA
rnacentral:snoRNA from 1 species